AGGAAAGCAACAGCAACUCCCUGAGUAGCGGCGAGCGAAACGGGAAGAGCCCGCUGAUCACGAAAGCCAGAAGAAUCCGAUGGAAUGCGGAACCACAGAGGGUGACAGUCCCGUACACGAAAAUAAACACACAUCGUAGGAGCACCUGAGUAGGUCCAGUCACGUGAAACCUGGAUUGAAUCUACGGGGACCAUCCCGUAAGGCUAAAUACUCUCUGACGACCGAUAGCAAACUCAGUAGGGCGACUGAAAGAUGGGAAGAACCCCUGCUAGGGGAGGAUAGUGAACCUGAAACCAUGUGCCUACAAGCGGUCGGAGCCCGAUUCUAACGGGUGACGGCGUGCCUUUUGCAUAAUGAUCCGGCGAGUUACUGUUUGCGGCCCGGUUAAGGUCUUACGGACCGAAGCCCAAGGGAAACCGAGUCUGAAUAGGGCGUUUUGUCGCAAGUAGUAGACGCGAAACUGCGUGAUCUACCCAUGAGCAGGUUGAAGCGCGGGUUAUACUGCGUGGAGGACCGAACCCACUUGGGUUGAAAACCGAGGGGAUGACUUGUGGGGAGGAGUGAAAGUCUAAUCAAACGCAGAGAUAGCUCGUUCUCUCCGAAAUAGCUUUAG
rnacentral:rRNA from 1 species